rnacentral:tRNA from 2 species
GGGCCCGUAGCUCAGCCAGGAUAGAGCGGCGGGCUUUUAACCCGUAGGUCCCGGGUUCGAAUCCCGGCGGGCCCGCCA